GCCGUGAGCAGUGGCAGAUUUCUUCACAAUGUAUGCUAGUUAAGAAAAAAGAAAAGAACAGGAGCAUACAAUACAAAUGAGUGAAUGAACCUUGAGGCAUUAAAUUGUUUCUUUUGACAUUCUGAUGAAACAGAUUCUUCAAAUUCCUGUGAUACCUGGAGGAGAGAAACAGAGACAACAGACAGAAACAGAGACAGAGGCCUUAAUAAAUCACCAUAUACUUCCAUACAUUUUGAAAUGAUGCUUUUAUGUUAUUCAUUACAUAACUAAUUCUGAGUAUCCUAAAAAAUUAAAACAAUGUUGUUAUUCUAUGCGAGGAAGAAAAUCUGUUUAGCUGACCAACAAGUACAUAUAAGAGUAAGAGGAAUCUACUGUUUUCAGCACUGAAAAUCAGUAGAAUCUUGAGACUCUUACAAUAUACUUUUGUUGUUUUAAAAAUUAUUUUAUUUUAGGCGAUGCCACUAUACUAUAUAAACUGAAAACAUACUGAACAUAUGUCAAUAUAUUUUAUGUUCUUUCUUGGAUUAAAAUAUGAAAAUAUU